rnacentral:lncRNA from 1 species
AAGAACACGGACAACAGGCAUGUCUGUGAGGAGUGAGGGCUCACUGUGAGCUCAAGAUGGGGGCCUCUGAUACAAAACGAUUUGUGGUUAGAACAGGAAUUUCAGGGUUCUUGUGGCCUGGGGUCUGUGGGGGCAGCAGUUACCUGCCAGGCUGGGGGACGUGGCAGAAAAGGUCCUUGCCUUGAGGAAGUUCGAGUCUAGCAGAGGAGAAAAUCAAGAAACAACGCCAAAUGCAUUAUGUCUGAGUGGAAGGUCCUCUGGGAAGCACCCAGGGCACAGGAACACAGUGUCUACUUCUCACCAAAGGAGCCCUCUCCUAUAUCCAGGCUGCAGCUCUCUUACAGCGCAUGCAGAGUCCCCCAGAGGAUGAAGUGAGUAUAUUUCAAGUAUGCUUUAUCAGAAAAGCCACCAAUCCCACCCACCUUUGUUGCUUCCCCACUUAUUGUUUUUAAAGAGUUAUUUAUGUUAUGUGUAUAUAUGUGUGUGCCCAAAUACAGGUAUGUGCAUCACAUGCACGCGGGUGCCCAUACAGAACACAAGAGGGUGUUCGCUUCUCUAGACCUGGAGUUGCAGGUAGACCUCUGAGAGCUGUGGGAUGUGGGUGGGAACUGAACUUGGAACUCCUCUAAAAGGAGCAAGUGCUUUUAACUACAGGGCCAGCCCUGCAGAGGUGGGCUUCUGCUCAUUUGCAUAUGACUCUUUGCAUAUUGACUCAGACUUCUCUUCAUCUUGCAUCUGAUUCUUAUUUGGGCUGACUUUCCUUCAUCCAGUGCAGCCCUUUGGUUGUAGUUCUGUAAAUAGUGGCAUACUCUCUUGGUCUUGGUCUGGAUCUAUUUUUAUUUUAUUGUGCUAUAGAAAAAAGAGGCUCCCAAAGGAUGCCGCUUUGCAUCCUGGGUACUCCGAACGGACGGAUCCUGCAGGGGCCUCAGACAUAGACUCUUUCUGGCUUUCUCCUGUCUCCUCCGCCCACCCUUCCCCCUAAGACAGCAAUAGAAACUCAAAUCUCCUUUUCCCCAAGGUGGACAACUAGAACUCUCCUUUCCCCCAGCCAGCUGUGAAACCAAGAAACAUUACUCUAACCUUCUGCCUUUCUGUGUAGUAGCUAGCAGGAAAAAAAAUAUCCUUGCUCUGCUUUGUCUGAUAGUGGAUCAUAAAGUGCCCAUUCCACAAGGGUUCUUCCCCCAGCUGGGAAGUGAGUGCCUUGCAGAGAGAUCUGUGUGGAAAGGGAACUUGGACCCACCCACAGCUUGGCUGUGGCCCUUCUGUCCUGAACUAUGAGCUCACACGGUUUUAGUCAAUCACAUUUCUACAAGGCUGUCUAUUUCCCCAGGGGCUUUGGAUCUACGUUUCUGAAAUCUCUCGUGUCACAUAAAACUUUAGGUAAAUCCA